rnacentral:rRNA from 1 species
CCUACGGGAGGCAGCAGUGAGGAAUAUUGGUCAAUGGGCUUACGCCUGAACCAGCCAAGUCGCGUGAGGGAAGAUUGCCCUAUGGGUUGUAAACCUCUUUUGUCAGGGAGCAACGCCGGCUCCGUUUAGCCGGACUGAGAGCACCUGAAGAAAAAGCAUCGGCUAACUCCGUGACAGCAGCCGCGGUAAUACGGAGGAUGCGAGUGUUAUCCGGAUUUAUUGGGUUUAAAGGGCGCGUAGGCGGAAUGCCGAGUCCGCGGUAAAACCGCGGGGCUCAGCGUCGAUCCGCCGUUGAAACUGGCGUGCUGGAGUGGGCAUGAAGUAGGCGGAAUGCGUGGUGUAGCGGUGAAAUGCAUAGAUAUCACGCAGAACACCGAUUGCGAAGGCAGCAUAC